rnacentral:rRNA from 1 species
GAUGAACGCUGGCGGCGUGCCUAAUACAUGCAAGUCGAGCGAAAAGACGAGGAGCUUGCUCCUCUGACGAUAGCGGCGGACGGGAGUGUAACACGUGGAUAACCUACCUAUAAGACUGGGAUAACUUCGGGAAACCGGAGCUAAUACCGGAUAAUAUAUUGAUCCGCAUGGUUCAAUAGUGAAAGACGGUUUUGCUGUCACUAAUAGAUGGUUCUGCGCCGCAUUAGCUAGUUGGUAAGGUAAAGGCUUACCAAGGGAACGAUGCGUAGCCGACCUGAGAGGGGGGUCGCCCACACGAGAACGGAGACACGGUCCAGACUCCUACGAGAGGCAGCAGUAGGGUAUCUUACGCAAUAGGCGAAAGCCUUGCAGAGCAGCGCCGCGUGAGAUGUGAAGGUCUUCGGAUCGUAAAACUCGGUUAUUAGGUAAGAACAGAUUUGUAAGGAGCUAUACACGUCUUGACGGUACCUAGUCAGAAAGCCACGGCUAACUACGUG